rnacentral:rRNA from 1 species
AACGCGAAGAACCUUACCUAAGCUUGACAUCCUUUUGACCUCUCCCUAAUCGGAGAUUUCCCUUCGGGGACAGAAGUGACAGGUGGUGCAUGGUUGUCGUCAGCUCGUGGCGUGAGAUGUUGGGUUAAGUCCCGCAACGAGCGCAACCCUUGCCUUUAGUUGCCAGCAUUAAGUUGGGCACUCUAGAGGGACUGCCAGGGAUAACCUGGAGGAAGGUGGGGAUGACGUCAAAUCAUCAUGCCCCUUAUGCUUAGGGCUACACACGUGCUACGAUGGGUGGUACAGAGGGCAGCCAAGCCGUGAGGUGGAGCAAAUCCCCUAAAGCCAUUCUCAGUUCGGAUUGUAGGCUGAAACUCGCCUACAUGAAGCUGGAGUUACUAGUAAUCGCAGAUCAGAAUGCUGCGGUGAAUGCGUUCCCGGGUCUUGUACACACCG